GUCAAUUUGAUGCUCAAUGCCCCUAAAUGGUGGCAAUCCACUUGGCACGUCCUCGGGGAAGACAUCAGCGUACUCCUGUAAAAGAGACUUAACUUCGAGAGGUAUAUCAGUACCAAGUUCAUGCACAUUCAGAGCUACUUCCUUGCUAACAAGCAUAAGAAGUGGCUGCUCAUCUCUCAUUAAUUUCCUCACUUUCUUGGCUUUUAUCAGGAGCAUUUGUUUUCCCUCGAUUUUUACCUUACUUGCCAAGCUAUCUAUAGCCUUUUUCCUCUCCUUUUUUGCCUCGGCUCUCUCAUUUUCUUUCCUUUUUGCACUAUGCUUCUCAAACUCUUGUUGCAAUUUCAAUUGAUCCUCAUGCACUUGUUUGGGGGAAAGGGGAG
rnacentral:lncRNA from 1 species